AAGUCGUAACAAGGUUUCCGUAGGUGAACCUGCGGAAGGAUCAUUAACACGUAUCCAACGUUAAACAACCCUGUGAACUUUCAACCCCGUCGGAAUGAGAUUAAUUUCCAACUCCGGCGAAGACAAGUGACCUGGCACCUGACCUCUCUGGAUGCUUAAUGGAAGGGUGACGCAGUAACGAUCGCUGGAGGCCCACACGGCCGGCGACCGGGUCAGCGGCAUUCUUUAAUGCCCCUUAAAACCACUUAACAUGACGACAGUUCCUCUUUAACUUGAGUUGAGCUAUAACAAAAAACUAAUACAACUGUUAACAAUGGAUAUCUUGGUUCUC
rnacentral:misc_RNA from 1 species